ensembl:lncRNA uncharacterized LOC110082834
CCUUCAAGUCAUGGACGACAGAGGCUCUGCCCCCUCCAGUCUCCCAGCAGAGCCUCAAAGUCCUGUGAGUGAGAACCCCGCUUGUGGAGAUGAGGAGCUGGACGAGGAGACCAUGAAGCACAUCUCCGCCUUGUACACAGCUUUGGGGCCCCUCCUGACAGAGGUGACCCAGCUGCAAAGCCAUCAGGACCCCCCUGCCCGUCUGAUGGUUGACAUGAAGGCCAAACUGAAAGAGCUGGGCUCCAGCGUCUCCGAUGCCAGGACCAGGAUGCUGAGGUACAACAUUUACCUGAAAAAGAAGCUGGCCAAAGCAGUGCAGGAGAGGGCAGCCCUGAGAGAGCAGUCGCUGAGGCAGGAAGGCGCUGGCACUGAGCAGCCCAGCAUCACCCCGCUGCCGAAGGGGGCCAGGUCCGAGGUGGAACCAGAGAAAUCCAGCAUGGGGACAGAGAAGCACAUCCAGGAGAUUGUGGCAUCAGAAAUCCCGAGGAUCAAGCCACCACCCGAGCGGGUGCAACGGCGUGUGAAGCUGCAGGAAGCUCCUUUGGCAACAGAGGUGAGGAGGGGAGGCAGGAGGGAAGAGCGUGGGAAGGGGGGGGCGUUGCUGUUGGUUACCAGGACUGGGGCCAGAGGGAGGGCCUUGCCAUCCCCCCCCCCAUAUUUUGAUUAUGUUUUGCUUGUUUUUAUCGGCACAAAUGGUCCUUCCAUUUCUGAAGGCGUGGGAGGUGCUGAUGAACCAAGAGCCAUCCAGGAGGAGGAUCUGAGACCUUCUGGGUAAAACCCAACCGUGGGCAUUUGAGCCCGUUGCUGGAGGCGAUGAAGUGGGGGCACUGGGACAGAGAAGGGUCUCCCCCUCACCCCCUCUCUCCCCAGCCCUCCCCUGUUUCUCCUUUCCUCAGCAGGACACAGGACGGGCCAGUGUGACACCCCAGGGAUUCCCCCAGAAAAAUGCUUCCAAUGUAGAUAACGUGGGUAAGUGCACCCUUGCAGCCACAGUGCACACACCGCGGGGGCACAGGCCGAGAGAGAGCAAGCGCCCCUCCCUGUGAAAAGCUCUCCAGGUCCAAGUGAAGGGCCAGGGUCAGUCCUCCCUUGCCAGGCCUUUCUCCCAAUGAGUGAAAAAGCCUGAUGUGUGUGGGGUGGGGAGAGAAAGAAUGGGGCUUAGAAGUAGCCCUCUUCCCUGGGGCAAAGUGCCCGGCCUGGCUAUAUCCAAGUGCCGUAUUAGUUACUCACCGCUAACUCUUUUUCCCAGUAACUAGAACUACCUUACAUGACGACUGUGACUUAACCAAGGAUGGCUUGAGUGGUGUGGCUUUUCCUUCUUGCACAGUGACGGGGAUGAAACCUCAUGAAAUGGUGAAGAACAAACUCUACACCGUUCACGCCCUGGCUCUGGCCAGGCUGCCUGCUGCUAAACGUGAAGAUAGCCAAACGUGUUUGUUUGCUGACGUAAGCAAUUCUUGCUUUUAGUUAUUUCUGAGAACGAAGACCUGCUUUCUAAAAGUGUCAUUUUGCGGGUAAUUACUUUCCAGGGUCCUGGGAUUACAAGUGUAACUCAUUGCAAUUUUGGUGCCGCUUCUCCAGCAGGGUUUGGAACACCCCCUUCUCCUUAAACCUAAGCAUUAUCCUUCCUCUUUCCAGCUUCCGGCCCUUCCCUUAAAAGAAGCCCACUCUGACCCAUAGCAGUGGGACGUGCACAGUUCUCUCCAUGCAAGCACCCGCCUGUCACGCUUCCCGAAGGACCGUAGGCUGCCGUGAGAGCGAACGACGUUGAGCCAGGUUGCCUUCAUCCACGUAACAGCAAUAAAAAGCCUGCAUUCCUGCA